rnacentral:rRNA from 1 species
AGUAGCUGCUUCUCGCUGACGAGCGGCGGACGGGUGAGUAAUGUAUGGGGAUCUGCCCGAUAAAGGGGGAUAACUACUGGAAACGGUGGCUAAUACCGCAUAAUCUCUUAAGAGCAAAGCAUGGGAACUUCGGGCCUUGCGCUAUCGGAUGAACCCAUAUGGGAUUAGCUAGUAAGUGGGGUAAUGGCUCACCUAGGCGACGAUCCCUAGCUGGUCUGACAGGAUGAUCAGCCACACUGGGACUGAGACACGGACCAGACUCCUACAGGAGGCAGCAAUGGGGAAUAUUGCACAAUGGGCGCAAGCCUGAUGCAGCCAUGCCGCGUGUAUGAAGAAGGCCCUAAGGUUGUAAAGUACUUUCACUCUGGAGGAAGGCGUUGAUGCUAAUAUCAUCAACAAUUGACGUUACCGACAGAACAAGCACCGGCUAACUCCGUGCCAUCAGCCGCGGUAAUACCGAGGGUGCAAGCGUUAAUCGGAAUUACUGGACGUAAAGCGCACCCAGGCGGUUGAUUAAGUUACAUGUGAAAUCCCCGGGCUUAACCUGGUAAUGGCAUCUAAGACUGGUCAACUAGAGUCUUGUAAAGGGGGGUAAAAUUCCAUGUGUUCCGGUGAAAUGCGUAAAGAUGUGGAGGAAUACCAGUGGCAAAGGCGGCCCCCUGGACUCUCACUGACGCUCAUGUGCCAAAGCAUGGGGAGCAAACAGGAUUAAAUACCCUGGAUGUCCUCGCUGUCAACGAUGUCAAUUAGGAGGGUGUGCCCUUGAGGCGUGUCUUCCCGAUCUAACUCGUUAUAUCGACCGCCUGGGGAGUACUGCCGAGAGGUUAAAACUCACAUGAACUGACGGGGGCCCGCACAAGCCGUGGAACAUGUGGGUUUAAUUCGAUUCAACUCGAAGAACCUUACCUACUCUUGACAUCCCUAGAAAUUUAUCAGAAAUGCUUUAAGUGCCUUUCGGGAACCUCUGAGACAGGUGCUGACAUGGUGUGUGAGUGCUAACMAYWGMGSUGAMCUAACAGAUGGC